UAUAGUGAAGUAGAACCCGCCGAGCUAGCUCGCUGGCUACGGCGUUGAGCUGGGCAGUGCGAGGUCGGGGGUUCAAUACCGUCUGAGGCGGCUGCAUUACGAUUGGUGCCUUUACGCCAAAGCAGUGCAGGUCAAAGAGCCUCAGCUGAACGACAUAUUAGUUCACGACUACGAAGCGCCUCCGAAUCAGAUUGCGGUUUUGACACCUAAUACCCCAGAAGUUAAAAUGAAUUGUUAGUGAGUGGUUCUUUCAUUCACGGCAGACUGUUGUGGCGCCCAAAAAUUACGUUGUCACAGUCACUCUAGACAACCGCAAAAGGACAAGGAAAAAUGAAAUUGGAAUUCUUACUCAAUUAAUUUUGUGUUACGUUGGUAUCAAUUCCCCCGCUGUUGCGAUUCGUGUUGUCACAAAUUAGUUACCACGCAUUUCAUGAUUUUUGUGGUUUAUCCACGUUUACCCUACGUUUUUAUUUGUUUGACAGUGUUGGCAGUUAUAUCGUUGGACGCUGCUUCAAUAAUAACGGUCGUGGGUACGUGCCUUCCAUCAAAGAACCAACAUCAUCAUUCGAAACGUCCAACGGGAGCAUCACAACAAACUGCGAAGUGCAGCGGAAUUGUGAAAGCUUCCUGAUGGCCAUGAGGACAAGGGCAGCUGGACGUCUUGCUGCGCUUGCAUCGGUUUUCUAACCGUUGCUGCCUUGGCCACCCUCGCCAUCAUGGUAGCCCUCGGUGUCGUGACUAUCGAGGUGCGCUACCGAGGACCCGAGGCCAGGAAGAGCGAUGCCAAUGACACCGUGUCUCCUACGUCUGGCCGCUACCGAACUCCCGGCGGCAGCAAAUCGAUGAACCAUAGCGUUUUCGAGGCUGCGAAAAAGCUGGCCGCUUUGGUGAUUCGCUACCCGAGAGACCAGCCACUCCCCGAUCAGCUGGGAUGAGGCUUGCUCGCCCGGACACAAAGAAAUGCGCAAAUACAGCGCAUGCGAAAUUACACUCUCCGACACGUUCACUUGACUUUUCAGCGUAAUCGUACCCUUUCAACUACAUGUACGGUCGAGAAGAAGACGAGGACUUGAAGCUCGUGUCAUUCACUGCCUUCGCCUCCACGAGCGAUGGCUAACGUUGCCAUCCCCGCCGACAUGCCGUUCGGCGAUUUAUAGAGAAUAGAAACAUAUUUUCUUCCGGCUGUCAAUGAACGAACCAACAUCCACAAAAAAUUCCUCUUCCCUCUUGGAUAGUAAGCUUCACACUAUACGUGCCGGCUGUGAAAAUAAAACGUGCAAGGUGA